GACGAACGCUGGCGGCGUGCUUAACACAUGCAAGUCGAACGAAGUGGCGAACGGGUGAGUAAUACGUGGGUAACCUGCCCUCCUUUUUGGGAUAAGCCUUGGAAACGGGGUCUAAUACCGAAUCAAGGGGGAUGGGCUCGCGGCCUAUCAGCUUGUUGGUGGGGUGAUGGCCUACCAAGGCGGUGCCGGGUAGCCGGCCUGAGAGGGUGACCGGGCACAUUGGGACGGCGAUACGGCCCAGACUACUACGGGGGGCAGCAGGUGGGGAUAUUGCACAAUGGGCGAAAGCCUGAUGCAGCGACGCCGCGUGGGGGAUGAAGGCCUUCGGGUUGUAAAGCUCUUUCGCUACCGAGCGGGUAGGUGGAGAAGAAGCGCCGGCUAACUACGUGCCAGCCGCCGCGGUAAUUC
rnacentral:rRNA from 1 species